UGGGGAAUAUUGCGCAAUGGGGGGAACCCUGACGCAGCCAUGCCGCGUGAAUGAAGAAGGCCUUCGGGUUGUAAAGUUCUUUCGGUAUUGAGGAAGGUUGAUGUGUUAAUAGUACAUCAAAUUGACGUUAAAUACAGAAGAAGCACCGGCUAACUCCGUGCCAGCAGCCGCGGUAAUACGGAGGGUGCGAGCGUUAAUCGGAAUAACUGGGCGUAAAGGGCACGCAGGCGGUUAUUUAAGUGAGGUGUGAAAGCCCUGGGCUUAACCUGGGAAUUGCAUUUCAGACUGGGUAACUAGAGUACUUUAGGGAGGGGUAGAAUUCCACGUGUAGCGGUGAAAUGCGUAGAGAUGUGGAGGAAUACCGAAGGCGAAGGCAGCCCCUUGGGAAUGUACUGACGCUCAUGUGCGAAAGCGUGGGGAGCAAACAGGAUUAGAUACCCUGGUAGUCCACGCUGUAAACGCUGUCGAUUUGGGGGUUGGGGUUUAACUCUGGCGCCCGUAGCUAACGUGAUAAAUCGACCGCCUGGGGAGUACGGCCGCAAGGUU
rnacentral:rRNA from 1 species